GACAGAGGGUGCAAACGUUUGUUCGGAAUUACUGGGCGUAAAGCGCGUGUAGGCGGCCCAGCAAGUCGGAUGUGAAAGCCCUGGGCUUAACCUAGGAAGUGCAUUCGAAACUGCUGGGCUUGAGUUCUGGAGAGGAAGGCGGAAUUCUCGGUGUAGAGGUGAAAUUCGUAGAUAUCGAGAGGAACACCGGUGGCGAGGGCGGCCUUCUGGACAGUGACUGACGCUGAGACGCGAAAGCGUGGGGAGCAAACAGGG
rnacentral:rRNA from 1 species